rnacentral:rRNA from 1 species
GGGCCCGCACAAGCGGUGGAGCAUGUGGUUUAAUUCGAUGAUACGCGAGGAACCUUACCAGGGCUUAAAUGUAAGUUGCAUUAGUUAGAGAUAGCUAUUUCUUCGGACUACUUACAAGGUGCUGCAUGGUUGUCGUCAGCUCGUGCCGUGAGGUGUCAGGUUAAGUCCUAUAACGAGCGCAACCCCCUGUUUUUAUGUUGCCUACUCGAGUCAUGUCGGGAACUCUAACAAGACUGCCGGUGCAAACCGUGAGGAAGGUGGGGAUGACGUCAAAUCAUCACGGCCCUUACGUCCUGGCUACACACGUGCUACAAUGGCCGGUACAGAGAGCAGCCACUACGCGAGUAGGCGCG